UACGGAGGGGGCUAGCGUUGUUCGGAAUUACUGGGCGUAAAGCGCACGUAGGCGGCUUUGUAAGUUAGAUGUGAAAGUCCUGGGCUUAACCUGGGGACUGCAUUUGAUACUGGGUUGCUUGAAUUCGGGAGAGGAUAGCGGAAUUCCCAGUGUAGAGGUGAAAUUCGUAGAUAUUGGGAAGAACACCGGUGGCGAAGGCGGCUAUCUGGACCGAAAUUGACGCUGAGGCGCGAAAGCGUGGGGAGCAAACAGG
rnacentral:rRNA from 1 species